UGAGGGCUGAUUUGGAGUUUUAUUUGAUCGAUUUCAGGUUCGAGGAUCUUGAAGAUGGAGUUAUCUACGUUGGUUCUUCUCGUAAUGGCUUGUGGUUUGAGGGUGGGAGCUGAUGGAACCAAUCAUUGGUACAAAGAGGGUGAUCAUGUCCCCCUAUUUGCCAAUAAGGUCGGACCUUUCCACAACCCCAGGUGAUUUCCUUUCGAUUCUUGCGUCAUUAUCGGUUUCGAAUUCCUCCUUCGUCGCUGAAUUUGCUUUUUUAUUUUGCGCAUCAUUUGAAGCGAAUAGAUCUUUGUCUGCGUCCCUUGCUUUUCUUCAAGAAUGCGAUCAUCGGUUUGCUUGUUUUGUGAUUUAGAAUGAACGCAGGAUCAUGAUUCGCUUUUGUAGUUUCAUUUUAUUUCUCUUAGUCGGUGGUUUUUGUUUUAUCGAUCGAAAUACCCAAGUCUCCAUUAAGCGUCAAAGCUAAAAAUCGUCUUUGAUUUCGCAUGCUUCGUGUUUUCGUCGAUCCGAUCGUUUACUGUUUUGUAAGCUUAUUUUGAUUCGCGUGGAUAGUUGCUUUUUCAUUAAAUAAGUCAAAUUCCGCAUUCAAGAUUAGGGAUUUGUGAUCUUGGAUCAUGUCAAAGCUUAAAAGAUUUCCCGCUUUGGCAUGCUUCUUGAUUUCUGAGUCCGAUCAAGCAAAGCUAAUUUUUGAGUGCUUCAUGUUUUAGCCGUGUUUCCAAUCCUUUACCAUCGAUUGUUAUUUUGGUUUCUCAAUAGUUUCUUUUAUGAAAAACCAAACUCUAUUAAAUCUCAGGGAUUUUAUACUUUGGUGUGCUUCAUAUUGUAGUGGUAUCAGUUCUGCUUGUUGGAUUGUGAGGAUCUGUUUCGUUCGGUCGCUUGUUAAUAGCCUUAUAGAUUACCAGGCCCUGUUAAUUCUGCUGCCUUUGACCCUGUCUUUGGCAUUUUUUUAAUGAUGCUCUUGUUUUAGGAUAUUUAUCAUUUACUUUUAACAUUUCAGUGUUUCUUGAAUGUGACAGUCAUUUCCCUUUUGCAUCUGCAGCGAGACAUAUCGUUACUAUGACUUGCCAUUCUGCUCACCAGAGCAUGUUACCGAAAAGACGGAAGCCCUUGGGGAAGUUCUAAAUGGUGAUCAUUUGGUCGAUGCACCGUACGAAUUAAAUUUUCUGGAGGAGCAGCAGUCAAACCUCUACGAUUCUCAUGCGUGUGCUCAAAAAUGAUAUUUUAAGAUAUUCUCUCAUUGAGGAGUCUCUUGAAGAUCAAGAGUAUUCUGGAUGGAAACAUAUCCUUGGUGACGUCUUCCGAUUUCCAAAGAACAAGUCAUUGUUUUCGGCUAUUAUUGGUUCUUGAACUCAGCUCCUAGUGCUGUAAGAGCUCUCACUAAACUCUUCUAAUGCUGAUUUCUGUUAAUAUCAUCUGAUACUUUUGUCCCAUGACAAUUGUUGCUUGAACAUAUUUGUAAAUGCGGUACCUCUUUUGUCAUUCAGUUGUCUUGAGUCGAGAGUCUUUGAAUCAUGGCAUACAUUAAGGUUUUAUUUCAAUUCAUCUUUCAAGAACUUCUAGUGCUAUUUUAUUCAUUUUAAUUGACACGGUUUACAAGAGUUUCCAUGGGCUUCAAGUUUUCGUCUAUCUUGUGGGUAGUAGAUAACUAGAUAUACCUUAUUCCUUUCCUUAGUUUCCUCCAUACAUUGUGUGUUCAUCUUUAAUUCAUAUCCCUUGAGAAUUUAAUCGUGUCAACCAAGCUGAAGUAUCUCUGGUGAAGAACUUACUUUUCAAUAUCGCAACCACAUGGAGAUUCCUUUGUGUUGAACAACGACCCCUCUUAUUAUUAUUGAUAUUGUCUUCUAAACAGAAAAACCCUUUGGAAAUGAAUGAACGCUUGUCUUAAAUUAAAAUUAGAUUUCUAUCCAUCUCUACGAAAACCAAGUCCACUAAUUUGGAAGACAUUGCCACUCUGCUAUCUUUUAUAUUUGCUAGAUUAAAUGGAAAAAGAAUGAAAAGUGCGCUGCAGCUGAUCAUAUGUUUGAUGGUCAGAGUUUUACCCGAUUGAAUGCUUUUUUUCAUCAUCCUAAGUGAAUGGCUAAUUAAAUGCCAAUAUCUUACUGAUUUUCGAUGAUUGAUUGGUUGUCAAAGCUGAAAAUGGAUUUGAUGAGAGGAUUUCAUAUAUAUGAUCCAAAGAGUUAUAAACGCUUGCAUAUUUGGAGAAGCUUACAUGAUUUAGCCUUAUCAAAAGCUGUAUAUCUAAUGCAAUAUUAAAAACCUUAAGUGACACAUCAAAUUUCUGAUGUGGAUAUUAGUUACUUGAGUGGAGGACACUAUCGCAAUCCAACAAUUGUCCAUUGAUCAAUUUCUAUUGGAAUCUUAGGAAAAAUGCAUUAGAUGGAAGUAAACUUGUGCUACGAAAGACUUGUAAUUGCUGUGGUUAUAGUGCCAUACGAAAUCAACUUUUUAGCAGGUAACUCCCGACAUGUCAAAAUUUUCUCCAUUCUUGAAGAUGUGAUUACAUUUGUUUUAGCAUAUAUCUAAUACUAAUUCAUCAUAUUUUCUGAAUAACAGUAAUCAUAAGUGGAUGUCACAGCUGUGUAUGACAGAGAAUUACAAGCUUUUAGAUCUUUCGAUCUUCCUAAUCUAUGUCAUGCCAUCUGAGGGGCUUGAGGGUGUAUAUAUGAAAACAAACUUUGCUGUUUCUGACUAGAACCAUAAUAGAAUGGUGUCCUAUAUGCUGCAGAAAUCUUGUAUUAGCUGACUGCUGAGUAGCACAGCUCAAAAUAAAGGUUGCCGCUCUAUAUAAUUUUAUUUUUUAUUUGCUAAUGAAAAAAGUUCUAUAAUUUUAUUUGUUAGCAGCACAGCACACCCACAAAGUGAUGUUCAGACGUAAGUAACUAAUAGAACUUUUGGAAACUUGAUUCGUUGUAUUUGUGGUGACAAACCAAGACAAUGAGAUUUCACCCUUGCACAAACUGAAUUUACCUAUAACAGCAUAAUUCAUAGUUUUAUUGUAGCGUCACUGUUCUCUAUUGUUUAAAAGAAAGUGCCGAAGCAUGUUCUAAAUUUUGGUUGCCUACAAAAAACUCUUGAUAUGUGUGUAGCAGCUAACAACAUGGCUGAGCAAGUAUAAUCAACCUAGGCUAAUGUGAAGAAGUUGAAAGUUACUAAUGCCAAGUACAAGGAAGCAGUUGAUAAGCACAGGAGAGAAAAGGUGUUCAAGGAAGAAAAUAUAGUUAUGGUGUACAUGCGAAAAGAGAGAUUUCCCGUAGGCACUUACAACAAAUUAAAGUCGAAGAAGUAUGGUCCCCAUAAAGUCUUAAAGAAAAUUAAUAACAAUGCUUAUGUGAUUGAUUUACUAGAUGAUUGUGAAAUUCAAAGACCUUCAAUGUUGUAGACUUAUAUGACUCCUUUUCAAAUGAGAAUCCAUUGUAUUCAGAUAUAAACUCGAGGAUGAGAUUUUUCUCUAUUGGAGGUGAUUAGUAUGGAACAAGCAGAAGGAGACUAGUUUCAAAGAGCCUAAAGCUACCCACUUAUCACUUUAUUUCUCCCACAUUGUUAAUUUUUAUGUUUCUUUCAAUUAUCUCACAUUGUAAGUUGGUUAGUUUUCAAGGCCUAGAACUAGUAUAAAUGAUGACCUCAUCUAAGCAUAUGGAAUCAUAAAAAAAGCAAUAUCUUCAAGUAUUGUAAAGGUUGUCUCCACUAUUAAGGAGUUUAUUUCCCUCAUCCUCCCUUAUAAGGUUAGUUUACUAGACUCAUUUUUGGUAGUAAUUUCUUAAUUUUGUUUCUGCUCUGCGUCAAAUAGUUAUAUCGGUUUAUAAUAGGUUGGGAGGUGACGAAGGUGUUUAUUAUAAUGUAUAUGUAAUUAUUUGAUGAUUAGCAGCGUUCGAGUGCUUGUGAAGAUGUAUACGAAAAUAUAACAACAUAUCAAUAGCAAAACUCAUGAAAAGUUGAAUGUUUAUAAAUAAUUUUUAGAUUUUUUAUGGAAUGUGUUCAAUAUUAUGCUUGUUUUGAGUCCUCCAAAAUUUUCUUUCAAAGAAUAGGAAGCUGAACUUCUCUGAUUCUUGUUUAACAUGUUUUUCACUUGUUUAUUGACUUAUUCUUUUUGUUUUCGUUGCUUUCGAAGUCUUAUAUAAUGGUGUUUGCUUUCUUGUAACAUGCAGAUAUGGCUAUUCAGGAUAUGGAGCAUCUACUGGUAAUGUAGGCUAUUUUCUUGAGAUAAAUGGUUUGCUAAGGGUGAUCUAAAUUUUUUGUGUGGGGUGGUAGGUUGGAGUUUGGGGUGCCAGUUGGACUCUCAAUCAAAACCAGUCUACUGUUAGACAUUGUUGCAUAUGUUUUUGUCUCAAUGUGAUCUAGAUUUGCGAGAGCCAUCGAGAUAUUUCUGCUAAGUUUUGUUAGUAUUUUUAGUAUUUUUGUUGUUCAUUGGAUUUCCAAGGACUCAUUUCAAGUUUUUGUGAUCUUGUGUUUCCUUUCACUGUCUAACUUUAUAGGUUUGCACAGAAGUUGAAUUAAUCUAACAUUCAUUUCUUUAUGUUCGAAUAUGUACCGGUUGUCAAUUUGUGUUAUAGAUUGUUAAUAAUUCCUUGUAUUUAGUGUGAACUGAUACCCCUUAUUUAGAAGUUAAAAUGUGUGUGUCAGAAUGAUCAUUAUAAAUAUUCCCGGUAGAUUAUGUUUUGUUUUAACAGUAGGAUGUCUUUCUUGUAGGGUACCGAAGAUGAUGUAGUGAAUUGGCUUCAUGGACAUGGUUUAUGGAAACUAGCGGAAGAACCGUAUGAUCCCUUAUGGAUCAAAGGAGGAGGUCAUUGUAACCUAGAGUUAUAUCCAGACUACAUCAGUCACCUAUGCAAGUUUAUUCGGGAAAUGGAGAACGUCACGACUGUAACCCGGCUCAAGAAGAUCCGGCAAACUCUCAAACUCCCUGCCAAAGCUGUCGCAACCACCAGCGCCACCACCUUCACGACCAACUGUUGUUGCCAAAUUAGAUGCAGGAAACCCGAUUGCUGGAGCUGCCCACGGAGAGGAUGUCUGAUGGUGCGAUGCUCCAAGGGAUCUGCAUACCUGUGCAACUGGUGUUGUGGAGAUUGGCAUUGAUGGUGGCAUCCGCUGUACAGAUUUGCUCAAACUUCUAAACCUGUCUAUUGUAUCGAAACAUUAACGAAGGCAAUCGGACUAUCGUUCGUGUGCGAAUUAAGAGAAUAGAUACCGAUUUUUUUGAA